rnacentral:rRNA from 1 species
GGUGAACGCUGGCGGCGUGCUUAACACAUGCAAGUCGAACGGAAAGGCCCAAGCUUGCUUGGGUACUCGAGUGGCGAACGGGUGAGUAACACGUGGGUGAUCUGCCCUGCACUUCGGGAUAAGCCUGGGAAACUGGGUCUAAUACCGGAUAGGACCACAUUUUGGAUGGUGUGGUGGAAAGUUUUUCGGUGUGGGAUGAGCUCGCGGCCUAUCAGCUUGUUGGUGGGGUAAUGGCCUACCAAGGCGUCGACGGGUAGCCGGCCUGAGAGGGUGUACGGCCACAUUGGGACUGAGAUACGGCCCAGACUCCUACGGGAGGCAGCAGUGGGGAAUAUUGCACAAUGGGCGCAAGCCUGAUGCAGCGACGCCGCGUGGGGGAUGACGGCCUUCGGGUUGUAAACUCCUUUCGCUAGGGACGAAGCGCAAGUGACGGUACCUGGAGAAGAAGCACCGGCUAACUACGUG